UACGGGGGGGGCAAGCGUUGUUCGGAAUUACUGGGCGUAAAGGGCGCGUAGGCGGUCAGACCAAGUCGAGUGUGAAAUUCCAGGGCUUAACUCUGGCACGCUCGCUCGAUACUGGUCGGCUAGAGUGUGGAAGAGGAUGCUGGAAUUCCCGGUGUAGCGGUGAAAUGCGUAGAUAUCAGGAGGAACACCAAUGGCGAAGGCAGCUCGCUGGGACGUGACUGACGCUGAGACGCGAAAGCCAGGGGAGCAAACGGG
rnacentral:rRNA from 1 species